CGAAGCCUCGGGUAUCAGAGGACCAUCACUAUCUCUGGCUGCUGUUGACCUUGUUUUUGGAGUAAAACACGGUGGAAGCUGAAUUAGUGAGGAUGACUCCUGCUCCUGUCAUCUCUAAGCUCCUCACACAUCUUUACCUGCACAUGAAGAAAAUCACUCCUGUAGAAUGCAGAUGUUCAGAGGGAGAUGAUGCCACAUCUGGUCCAGCUGAUGGAAGGUCUUGAAGUUCUCUGACUGGCCUCGACUGAAGAUGGUCGUCUCACUGGAUUUAAGAUGCACAAUGAGGGACGUCUGCAGAGACUGAGAAAGAGUCUCACCACAUCCUGACAUGAGGAAAAAGACUUUAUUGAAGACUACAAUGAGAAAAACUAUCAGACAGCAGACGGCUGCAUUCAAGGUGAGCUCUGAACAUUUGAUCUGGAACAGGAAUUCAAUAACGGCAGCAUGAGCUUCAUUUCAGUCUGUAGCUGCUGAAUUCAUGGAUGAAUCAUCUUGCACUAGAGAGGAAGACCAUCAAACAUCCACUAAACAACCCUUUCAGGUCUAUAUUUGAGGUUUUAGGUGGAACAUUCCUUUUAACCAGCCCCUCAGGUCUCUGAGGAUUUUGGAUGGAAUACUGGGUUAAACCAACAUUUUAGGUGCAUGUCCAAGGAUUUCUGGUGGAAUGUUCCUUUAAGGUGGAUGUGUGAGGACCUUGUAGGUGGAAUACUCUCUGAAACC
ensembl:lncRNA